rnacentral:rRNA from 1 species
AUUCGUAGUGAUUGUAUGAGUUUGAUCAUGGCUCAGAUUGAACGCUGGCGGCAGGCUUAACACAUGCAAGUCGAGCGGGCGAGGUUGCUUCGGUAACUGAGCUAGCGGCGGACGGGUGAGUAAUGCUUAGGAAUCUGCCUAUUAGUGGGGGACAACAUUCCGAAAGGGAUGCUAAUACCGCAUACGUCCUACGGGAGAAAGCAGGGGAUCUUUAUGACCUUGCGCUAAUAGAUGAGCCUAAGUCGGAUUAGCUAGUUGGUGGGGUAAAGGCCUACCAAGGCGACGAUCUGUAGCGGGUCUGAGAGGAUGAUCCGCCACACUGGGACUGAGACACGGCCCAGACUCCUACGGGAGGCAGCAGUGGGGAAUAUUGGACAAUGGGGGGAACCCUGAUCCAGCCAUGCCGCGUGUGUGAAGAAGGCCUUUUGGUUGUAAAGCACUUUAAGCGAGGAGGAGGCUCUCUUGGUUAAUACCUAAGAAGAGUGGACGUUACUCGCAGAAUAAGCACCGGCUAACUCUGUGCCAGCAGCCGCGGUAAUACAGAGGGUGCGAGCGUUAAUCGGAUUUACUGGGCGUAAAGCGCGCGUAGGUGGUUAAUUAAGUCAAAUGUGAAAUCCCCGAGCUUAACUUGGGAAUUGCAUUCGAUACUGGUUGGCUAGAGUAUGGGAGAGGAUGGUAGAAUUCCAGGUGUAGCGGUGAAAUGCGUAGAGAUCUGGAGGAAUACCGAUGGCGAAGGCAGCCAUCUGGCCUAAUACUGACACUGAGGUGCGAAAGCAUGGGGAGCAAACAGGAUUAGAUACCCUGGUAGUCCAUGCCGUAAACGAUGUCUACUAGCCGUUGGGGGAUUUGAUCCUUUAGUGGCGCAGCUAACGCGAUAAGUAGACCGCCUGGGGAGUACGGUCGCAAGACUAAAACUCAAAUGAAUUGACGGGGGCCCGCACAAGCGGUGGAGCAUGUGGUUUAAUUCGAUGCAACGCGAAGACCUUACCUGGCCUUGACAUAGUAGAGACUUUCCAGAGAUGGAUGGUGCCUUCGGGAU